rnacentral:rRNA from 1 species
GAUGAACGCUGGCGGCGUGCCUAAUACAUGCAAGUCGAGCGAACAGACGAGGAGCUUGCUCCUCUGACGUUAGCGGCGGACGGGUGAGUAACACGUGGAUAACCUACCUAUAAGACUGGGAUAACUUCGGGAAACCGGAGCUAAUACCGGAUAAUAUAUUGAACCGCAUGGUUCAAUAGUGAAAGACGGUUUUGCUGUCACUUAUAGAUGGAUCCGCGCCGCAUUAGCUAGUUGGUAAGGUAACGGCUUACCAAGGCAACGAUGCGUAGCCGACCUGAGAGGGUGAUCGGCCACACUGGAACGGAGACACGGACCAGACUCCUACGGGAGGCAGCAGUAGGGAAUCGUACGCAAUGGGCGAAAGCCUGACGGAGCAACGCCGCGUGAGUGAUGAAGGUCUUCGGAGCGUAAAACUCUGUUAUUAGGGAAGAACAAAUGUGUAAGUAACUAUGCACGUCUUGACGGUACCUAAUCAGAAAGCCACGGCUAACUACGUG